rnacentral:rRNA from 1 species
CUACGGGAGGCUCCAGUGGGGAAUAUUGGGCAAUGGGCGAAAGCCUGACCCAGCAACGCCGCGUGAAGGAAGAAGGUUUUCGGAUCGUAAACUUCUAUCCCAGGUGAAGAUAAUGACGGUAGCCUGGAAGGAAGCCCCGGCUAACUACGUGCCAGCAGCCGCGGUAAUACGUAGGGGGCAAGCGUUGUCCGGAAUGAUUGGGCGUAAAGGGCGCGUAGGCGGCCUUCUAAGUCCGAUGUGAAAGUCCUGCUUUUAAGGGGGGAAUUGCAUUGGAAACUGGAGGGCUUGAGUGCAGGAGAGGUAAGUGGAAUUCCCGGUGUAGCGGUGAAAUGCGUAGAGAUCGGGAGGAACACCAGUGGCGAAGGCGACUUACUGGACUGUAACUGACGCUGAGGCGCGAAAGUGUGGGGAGCAAACAGGAUUAGAUACCCGAGUAGUC